rnacentral:tRNA from 1 species
GCCCGUGUAGCUCAGUGGUAGAGCAGCGCAUUCGUAAUGCGCGGGUCGGGAGUUCGAAUCUCCCCAUGGGCU